rnacentral:rRNA from 1 species
GAUGAACGCUGGCGGCGUGCUUAAUACAUGCAAGUCGGACGGAGGUUGCAGCAAUGUGGCCUUAGUGGCGAACGGGUGAGUAACGCGUUGGUGACCUGCCCCGAAUCGUGGGAUAACAGAUCGAAAGGUCUGCUAAUACCGCAUGAGGUCAUAGAGGUUAGAGGCUCGAUGACGAAAGGAGCAAUCCGAUUUGGGAGGGACCUGCGUCCCAUCAGCUAGUUGGUAAGGUAAUGGCUUACCAAGGCGACGACGGGUAGGGGGCCUGAGAGGGUGACCCCCCACACUGGCACUGAAACACGGGCCAGACACCUACGGGUGGCAGCAGUAGGGAAUAUUGCACAAUGGGCGAAAGCCUGAUGCAGCAACGCCGCGUGCACGAUGAAGGCCUUCGGGUCGUAAAGUGCUUUUUGAGGAGACGAGGAAGGACGGUAUCCUCAGAAUAAGGAUCGGCUAACUACGUGCCAGCAGCCGCAGUAAGAC